rnacentral:misc_RNA from 1 species
GUCACACCGAACUUAAGAAAAUAUUGGAUUAAUAUUGACCCGGGGAACCAUUGCACGUCAAUGAGAAGUCAAUACCUUCUAUGCUUGCAAGUUGCAGCCAUAUUUAUAUCUUCCUGCUUUGAACAUGAAAGCAGAAAAAUUAAACUCACUCCCUGAUGUACCCUCUUUCUUUCAUGUUUGUGAUUGCUAAUUUACUGCUUUUCUUUUCUCAGUUCUCAGAUGCAACUGAUACACUUGCUUUAUCCCAGUCUCUUGCCGAUGGCAGUACUUUAGUUUCGGAAGAUGGAAGUUUCGAGCUUGGUUUCUUCAGUGCUGGUAGUUCCAGGAACCGUUAUUUGGGAAUUUGGUACAAAAAUAUCCCUGUCAAAACCGUUGUUUGGGUUGCGAACCGGAGUAGUCCGAUUAACGAUACCUUCGGCUUGUUAAUGAUAAACAACUCCGGCAAUCUCACACUACGUAGCAAGAACAUGGGUAAUGUUGUUUGGUCAUCAAACUCGACGAAAGCUGCCCUAAAGAGCCCAGUAUUACAGCUACUGGAUUCUGGGAAUCUGGUGUUAAGAGAAGGAAAUGGUGAAAACUCUGGAAUCUACAUAUGGCAGAGUUUUGAUUAUCCAACUGACACAUUGCUACCAGGGAUGAAGUUUGGAGUGAACUUAAAGACCGGACUUGAUCGGCGUCUUACAUCGUGGAAAAGCACGGAUGAUCCAUCUCCUGGAGAUUUUGUUUGGAAGAUGCAACCACAUGGUAACCCAGAGUACAACAUAUUGAAAGGUUCAAAAAUCUAUUUUCGAUCAGCCCCAUGGAAUGGCAUCUCAUACAGUGGUAAUCCACAGUUAAGGUCUAACAAUAUUUUUAACUUUUCCUUUGUGAAUACCGAGGAGGAGAUUUACUACAUAUACUACCUCGAAAAGAAAUCUGUAAUUUCAAGGAUUGUAAUCAACCAAACUAGCUAUAGGCGCGAGCGCUACACGUGGGAUGAAGCCUCUGCGUCUUGGAAUCUAUAUGCAUAUGUACCAAAUGAUUAUUGCGACUUCUAUAACCAUUGCGGUCCCUAUGGAAAUUGCAUCGUUGAUGCGUCGCCCAUUUGUCAAUGUUUGAAAGGUUUCGUGCCUAAAUCACCAGAUCAGUGGAACUCAGGGGCUUUGUCUGAUGGCUGCAAGCGCAACAAGUCAUUAGGAUGCAGCGAGGGCACUGGAGAUGGGUUUCUUAAAUUCCGUGGAUUAAAAUUGCCAGACACUACAUAUUCUUGGGUAAAUAAAAGCAUGAAUCUCGAGGAAUGCAGGGCUAAAUGCUUACAGAACUGUUCUUGCACGGCGUAUACAAGCUUUGAUAUUCGAGAAGGAGACAGUGGUUGCGCCAUUUGGUUUAACGAUUUGAUUGACAUUAGAGAAAUUUCCAGUGGUGGACAGGAUCUAUACGUAAGGAUGUCUGCUUCUGAAUUAGCUGACAUUCAGGAUGCGAAACAUGAAGUUGACAAGAAGAUACUGGUGAUAAUCAUCCUUGCUAUUGCUGUGAUUUCUGGGAUUGUAGUUGUCAUCUACUGCUCCCGCAAGAGCAUGUCAAAGUUUAUAGAUCAAGCAGAAAAGAAAGAAGAAAUUGACUACUCUGAAUGCUUAGAGGAAGAUAUGGAGCUCCCAUUAUUUGAUCUUGCCAUCAUAUCACAUGCAACCAAUAAAUUUUCCGACAGCAAUAAACUAGGAGAAGGAGGCUUCGGACCUGUUUACAAGGUAAAUUGCCACCUGCAGGCACAAUCAAUGACCAUGAGACCAUAUAUUUCAUCUUUAGACACCUGUAAUUUUUCCAGGGUACACUAAUGGAUGGAAAAGAAAUUGCUGUGAAGAGGCUGUCAAAGAAUUCCGGACAGGGGCUAAAGGAGUUCAAAAAUGAAGUUAAAUUGAUUGUGAAACUUCAGCACCGAAAUCUUGUAAAGCUUCUU